rnacentral:rRNA from 1 species
CUGGUUGAUCCUGCCGGACCUGACUGCUAUCGGAUUGAUACUAAGCCAUGCGAGUCAUUGUAGCAAUACAAGGCAGACGGCUCAGUAACGCGUAGUCAAUCUACCCUAUGGACGGGAAUAACCUCGGGAAACUGAGAAUAAUACCCGACAGAACAUUAUACCUGGAACGGUUUAUGUUUCAAAUGAUUUAUCGCCGUAGGAUGGGACUGCGGCCUAUCAGUUUGUUGGUGAGGUAAUGGCCCACCAAGACUAUUACAGGUACGGGCUCUGAGAGGAGUAGCCCGGAGAUGGGUACUGAGACAAGGGCCCAGGCCCUACGGGGCGCAGCAGUCGCGAAAACUUUGCAAUACACGAAAGUGUGACAGGGCUAUCCCGAGUGCCAUCCGCUGAGGAAGGCUUUUACCCAGUCUAGAAAGCUGGGGGAAUAAGGAGAGGGCAAGUCUGGUGUCAGCCGCCGCGGUAAUACCAGCUCUCCGAGUGGUGUGGAUGUUUAUUGGGCCUAAAGCAUCCGUAGCUGGCUAAGUUAGUCCCUUGUUAAAUCCACCGAAUUAAUCGUUGGAUUGCGGGGGAUACUGCUUGGCUAGGGGACGAGAGAGGCAGACGGUAUUUUUGGGGUAGGGGUGAAAUCCUAUAAUCCCAGGAAGACCACCAGUGGCGAAGGCUGUCUGCUAGAACGCGCCCGACGGUGAGGGAUGAAAGCUGGGGGAGCGAACCGGAUUAGAUACCCGGGUAGUCCCAGCUGUAAACGAUGCAAACUAGGUGUUUGAACGGCCACGUGCCGUUCUAGUGCCGCAGGGAAGCUGUUAAGUUUGCCGCCUGGGGAGUACGAUCGCAAGAUUGAAACUUAAAGGAAUUGGCGGGGGAGCACCACAAGGGGUGAAGCUUGCGGUUUAAUUGGAGUCAACGCCGGG